CCUACGGGUGGCAGCAGUGAGGAAUAUUGGUCAAUGGGCGGGAGCCUGAACCAGCCAAGUCGCGUGAGGGAAGACGGUCCUAUGGAUUGUAAACCUCUUUAGGCGGGGAGCAAUGCCGGGCACGUGUGCCCGAAGGGAGAGUACCCGCAGACUAAGCAUCGGCUAACUCCGUGCCAGCAGCCGCGGUAAUACGGAGGAUGCGAGCGUUAUACGGAUUUAUUGGGUUUGAAGGGUGCGUAGGCGGAGUUUUAAGCCAGCGGUAAAAUGUCCGGGCUCAACCCGGGCCGGCCGUUGAAACUGGGGAUCUUGAGUGGGCGAGAAGUAUGCGGAAUGCGUGGUGUAGCGGUGAAAUGCGUAGAUAUCAGGCGGAACACCGAUUGCGAAGGC
rnacentral:rRNA from 1 species